CGAUUUUGGCCGUUUUUGGCGCCCAGGUUCGUGCAGUACAAGGCCACGUCCCUGGAGAAGCAGCACAAGCACGACCUGCUGACAGAGCCCGACCUGGGCGUGACCAUCGACCUCAUCAACCCCGACACGUACCGGAUCGACCCCGGGGUGCUGCUGGACCCCGCGGAUGAGAAGCUGCUGGAGGAGGAGAUCCAGGCGCCCACCAGCUCCAAGAGGUCGCAGCAGCUCGCCAAGGUGGUGCCCUGGG